rnacentral:rRNA from 1 species
UACGUAGGGUGCAAGCGUUGUCCGGAUUCAUUGGGCGUAAAGAGCUCGUAGGCGGUUUGGCAAGUCGGGUGUGAAAACUCCGGCUCAACUCGGAGACGCCACUCGAUACUGCCAUGACUCGAGUCCGGUAGGGGAGGUGCGGAAUUCCUGGUGUAGCGGUGAAAUGCGCAGAUAUCAGGAAGAACACCUAUGGCGAAGGCAGCUCUCUGGGACGGUACUGACGCUGAGACGCGAAAGCGUGGGGAGCGAACAGG